rnacentral:lncRNA from 1 species
CAAGGAUGUUAUACUAAACUCGCUAUCAAAAUCCUAUCUAGCCUUCUUGAGUCAUUACAGAAUGACCAAUCCUACAGUAAACUAUCAUGCUUUGCUAGGAUUGCUGUAGAUGUUCGAGGAGGACCAUCAGCUUUAGAAGGAGCCGAUGCAUGUAGUGAGAGGUUUGUCUAAAGGUCAUCGAUCCUCUAAAAGAGAAAAGAAGAAGAAAAUGCAGAAAAAUCAUGCUACCAAUCCCAA